UUUUAUCAAGUCAUGACGCUAAGAGGCACAUCAUGUCGAUCAUGACUGUAGCUUUGUUCCCAUUGAAAAAGGCCUCGAUGACAGCAAUGGCUCACUGAGCAUGGAAUAAGAAUAAAAACCCGAAAAUGCAUCUCACUCCGUACGUAGGGCUGACUACUUUACUACAGUUAAAAUUAAGUCACAGAAAACCAGAAAUGGCAGGCCGAGAUCUCACGAGGUUGAAGUGUCAAGGAAGAAGAAGAAGAAUGCAUCUCAAAGGCUCAGCAGAUAUUUCUUUAUCUGAUUACAAACAUAUGUUUGAGUUGAAAAGGAGAUAAAACUCUGCAGAUGAGCGGUUCACACCACACUUAUCAUUAUCGAUAUUCGGACGAUGUGGCGUUGAACUUGUUCUGAACAGACGUCUUGUUGAUUUAUUUAGAGAGUCGACUCUUUCGAGCGAGUGAAGUGAUUCUCUCAAUCGAAAAUGGCAUCUCUAGUCCACGCUGCUUGAAGGCGCUUUACAUGGAACUGAUAGGCGUAUGGAAGUGCGGCAGAGGAGCCUUAUAGAUAACAGCGAACCCCGUUAGCAAACGGGUGUCACUCGUGGAUGCAAUUAAACCUCCAUUCGAUCCCUUGUGCUGCUCGUCCAUCAAACUUCCUUCAACCCGCACGCCGGCCUCCGGCGGAUAGCGCUCGGCGUUAUGCGUGACCGGUUUGAACUGCACUCGUCCGGAUGCCUUUUCAGAACUAUAAUCUGAACAGUGCUACAUUGUUACUGUACAGUGUUGUACGCGCCACCUCACCCUAACCUGAUUAACUGCCUGGCCUGCGAGGAGUAUGGGGUUUUGCAAUAUGCAUGACGCGCCGUGAACUUCAAACACACGAAUUUAUGCAUUCAUCCCGACCUGCUGCUGUGAAUCUAUCAAAUGUUUAGUGCUGGAAAAUU